rnacentral:tRNA from 1 species
GGUAAAAUGGCUGAGGCUAAGCAUUAGACUGUAAAUCUAAAGACAGAGGUAACACCUCUUUUUACCAG